AUUGAACGCUGGCGGCAGGCCUAACACAUGCAAGUCGAACGGUAACAGGAAGAAGCUUGCUUCUUUGCUGACGAGUGGCGGACGGGUGAGUAAUGUCUGGGAAACUGCCUGAUGGAGGGGGAUAACUACUGGAAACGGUAGCUAAUACCGCAUAACGUCGCAAGACCAAAGAGGGGGACCUUCGGGCCUCUUGCCAUCGGAUGUGCCCCGAUGGGGUUAGCUAGUAGGUGGGGUAACGGCUCACCUAGGCGACGGUCCCUAGCUGGUCUGAGAGGAUGACCAGCCACACUGGAACUGAGACACGGUCCAGACUCCUACGGGAGGCAGCAGUGGGGAAUAUUGCACAAUGGGCGCAAGCCUGAUGCAGCCAUGCCGCGUGUAUGAAGAAGGCCUUCGGGUUGUAAAGUACUUUCAGCGGGGAGGAAGGGAGUAAAGUUAAUACCUUGACUCAUUGACGUUACCCGCAGAAGAAGCACCGGCUAACUCCGUG
rnacentral:rRNA from 1 species